GCUUAGUGGCGGACGGGUGAGUAACGCGUGAGCAAUCUGCCUUUCAGAGGGGGAUAACGAUUGGAAACGAUCGCUAAUACCGCAUAACGUAUUCGGAUGGCAUCAUCUGAAUACCAAAGGAGCAAUCCGCUGAAAGAUGAGCUCGCGUCUGAUUAGAUAGUUGGUGAGGUAACGGCCCACCAAGUCGACGAUCAGUAGCCGGACUGAGAGGUUGAACGGCCACAUUGGGACUGAGACACGGCCCAGACUCCUACGGGAGGCAGCAGUGGGGAAUAUUGCGCAAUGGGGGAAACCCUGACGCAGCAACGCCGCGUGAUUGAAGAAGGUCUUCGGAUUGUAAAAAUCUUUUAUCAAGGACGAAGAAGUGACGGUACUUGAUGAAUAAGCUCCGGCUAACUACGUGCCAGCAGCCGCGGUAAUACGUAGGGAGCAAGCGUUAUCCGGAUUUACUGGGUGUAAAGGGCGAGUAGGCGGAUUGGCAAGUUGGGAGUGAAAUGUCGGGGCUUAACCCCGGAACUGCUUCCAAAACUGUUGAUCUUGAGUGAUGGAGAGGCAGGCGGAAUUCCCAGUGUAGCGGUGAAAUGCGUAGAUAUUGGGAGGAACACCAGUGGCGAAGGCGGCCUGCUGGACAUUAACUGACGCUGAGGAGCGAAAGUGCGGGUAUCGAACAGGAUUAGAUACCCUGGUAGUCCGCACGGUAAACGAUGGAUGCCCGCUGUUGGCCUGAAUAGGUCAGCGGCCAAGCGAAAGCAUUAAGCAUCCCACCUGGGGAGUACGCCGGCAACGGUGAAACUCAAAGGAAUUGACGGGGGCCCGCACAAGCGGAGGAACAUGUGGUUUAAUUCGAUGAUACGCGAGGAACCUUACCCGGGCUUGAAUUGCAGAGGAAGGAUUUGGAGACAAUGACGCCCUUCGGGGUCUCUGUGAAGGUGCUGCAUGGUUGUCGUCAGCUCGUGCCGUGAGGUGUCGGCUUAAGUGCCAUAACGAGCGCAACCCCUCUCCUUAGUUGCCAUCAGGUGAAGCUGGGCACUCUGGGGACACUGCCACCGUAAGGUGUGAGGAAGGUGGGGAUGACGUCAAAUCAGCACGGCCCUUACGUCCGGGGCUACACACGUGUUACAAUGGCAGGUACAGAGAGAUGGUCCUUUGCAAAACGGAUCAAAUCCUUAAAGCCUGUCUCAGUUCGGACUGGGGUCUGCAACCCGACCCCACGAAGCUGGAUUCGCUAGUAAUCGCGCAUCAGCCAUGGCGCGGUGAAUACAUUCCCGGGCCUUGCACUCACCGCCCGUCA
rnacentral:rRNA from 1 species